AGCGAACGCUGGCGGCAGGCCUAACACAUGCCAGUCGAACGAACCUUUCGGGGUUAGUGGCGGACGGGUGAGUAACACGUGGGAACGUGCCUUUAGGUUCGGAAUAACUCAGGGAAACUUGUGCUAAUACCGAAUGUGCCCUUCGGGGGAAAGAUUAAUCGCCUUUAGAGCGGCCCGCGUCUGAUUAGCUAGUUGGUUGAGGUAAUGGCUCACCAAGGCGACGAUCAGUAGCUGGUCUGAGAGGAUGAUCAGCCACAUUGGGACUGAGACACGGCCCAAACUCCUACGGGAGGCAGCAGUGGGGAAUCUUGCGCAAUGGGCGAAAGCCUGACGCAGCCAUGCCGCGUGAAUGAUGAAGGUCUUAGGAUUGUAAAAUUCUUUCACCGGGGACGAUAAUGACAGUACCCGGAGAAGAAGCCCCGGCUAACUUCGUG
rnacentral:rRNA from 1 species